UACGUAGGGGGCCAGCGUUGUCCGGAAUCAUUGGGCGUAAAGCGCGCGUAGGCGGUCAGGUAAGUCCGGUGUGAAAGUCAAAGGCUCAACCUUUGAAUGCCGCUGGAUACUGCUUGACUUGAGUCCGGAAGGGGCGAGUGGAAUUCCUGGUGUAGCGGUGAAAUGACGCAGAUAUCAGGAGGAACACCAAUGGCGAAGGCAGCUCGCUGGAACGGUACUGACGCUGAGGCGCGAAAGCGUGGGGAGCGAACAGG
rnacentral:rRNA from 1 species